AUAGUCUAGAGUGAGGGAGAGGCAGAUGGAAUUGGUGGUGUAGGGGUAAAAUCCGUAGAUAUCACCAAGAAUACCCAUUGCGAAGGCGAUCUGCUGGAACUCAACUGACGCUAAGGCGCGAAAGCGUGGGGAGCAAACAGGAUUAGAUACCCUGGUAGUCCACGCCCUAAACGAUGUACACUAGUUGUUGGGGUGCUAGUCAUCUCAGUAAUGCAGCUAACGCAUUAAGUGUACCGCCUGGGGAGUACGGUCGCAAGAUUAAAACUCAAAGGAAUAGACGGGGACCCGCACAAGCGGUGGAGCAUGUGGUUUAAUUCGAAGAUACGCGAAGAACCUUACCUGGGCUUGAUAUCCUAAGAACCUUUUAGAGAUAAGAGGGUGCUAGCUUGCUAGAACUUAGAGACAGGUGCUGCACGGCUGUCGUCAGCUCGUGUCGUGAGAUGUUGGGUUAAGUCCCGCAACGAGCGCAACCCACGUAUUUAGUUGCUAACGGUUCGGCCGAGCACUCUAAAUAGACUGCCUUCGUAAGGAGGAGGAAGGUGUGGACGACGUCAAGUCAUCAUGGCCCUUAUGCCCAGGGCGACACACGUGCUACAAUGGCAUAUACAAUGAGACGCAAUACCGCGAGGUGGAGCAAAUCUAUAAAAUAUGUCCCAGUUCGGAUUGUUCUCUGCAACUCGAGAGCAUGAAGCCGGAAUCGCUAGUAAUCGUAGAUCAGCCAUGCUA
rnacentral:rRNA from 1 species